rnacentral:rRNA from 1 species
GUAAUAAUUAGCCUCUUAAUUGGAGGCCAGUGAAAGGCAACACCGGGAAUACCUGUACUUUAUAUGUUAAAAGAACUUUCUCUCUAAGUGAAAAAUCUUAGAUAAUAAUGGAAGACGAAAAGACCCCGCGGAACUUUACCUUUUCUUCUAAGACUAUUCCGCACAUAAAAAUAGGCUUAACAAGGUUUGAUUGGGGCAAUCUCGGAACCGCCCAAGCUUCCGACUUUUUUAACAAACAUCAAAAAUUUGUUAUGGACCAAAGAGAAGUUACCCCGGGGAUAACAGCGUUAUCCAACUUGAGAGUACACAUCGAAAGUUGGGUUUGC